rnacentral:rRNA from 1 species
UUUUUCAAAGACCUUUCUUGUUUGGAUCUUUGAAAAAAUUCAAGAAAGGUUUUUGAUUAAUUGGGGUGAUUUUUAAAUUUUAAAAAACUUUAGAAGUGUAUUACUAGAUCCAAUAUUAUUGAUGAUUUAAAAAAAAUACUCUAGGGAUAACAGCGUUAUUACUUUGGAUAGUUCAUAUAGAUAAAGUAGAUUGCGACCUCGAUGUUGGAUUAGGAUACCUUUAUUAAUGAAGAAGUUAUAAAAGGAGGUUUGCUCAACCUUCAAAUUCCUACA